rnacentral:misc_RNA from 1 species
UUUCCGUAGGUGAACCUGCGGAAGGAUCAUUAUUGUAUAACCGAGGUGCGUGGGCUGUCGCUGACCCGAAAGGUCGUGCACGCCCGAGUGCCCUCACACGCAUCCAUCUCACCCCUAUGUGCACCACCGCGUGGGUCCCCCUUUGGCUUGUUCGGAGGGGGGCUUACGUUUUCACACAAACUUUGUAUGCAGUGUAGAAUGUAUUUUUUGUUUUUGCGAUCACGCAAUCAAUACAACUUUCAACAACGGAUCUCUUGGCUCUC